rnacentral:rRNA from 1 species
ACGCUGGCGGCAGGCUUAACACAUGCAAGUCGAACGGUAACAGGAGAAAGCUUGCUUUCUUGCUGACGAGUGGCGGACGGGUGAGUAAUGCUUGGGAAUCUGGCUUAUGGAGGGGGAUAACUACGGGAAACUGUAGCUAAUACCGCGUAAUAUCUUCAGAUUAAAGGGUGGGACUUUCGAGCCACCUGCCAUAAGAUGAGCCCAAGUGGGAUUAGGUAGUUGGUUAGGUAAAGGCUGACCAAGCCGACGAUCUCUAGCUGGUCUGAGAGGAUGACCAGCCACACUGGAACUGAGACACGGUCCAGACUCCUACGGGAGGCAGCAGUGGGGAAUAUUGCACAAUGGGGGGAACCCUGAUGCAGCCAUGCCGCGUGAAUGAAGAAGGCCUUCGGGUUGUAAAGUUCUUUCGGUGACGAGGAAGGUUGGUAGGUUAAUAGCCUAUCAAAUUGACGUUAAUCACAGAAGAAGCACCGGCUAACUCCGUGCCAGCAGCCGCGGUAAUACGGGGGGUGCGAGCGUUAAUCGGAAUAACUGGGCGUAAAGGGCACGCAGGCGGUGACUUAAGUGAGAUGUGAAAGCCCCGAGCUUAACUUGGGAAUUGCACUUCAUACUGGGUCGCUAGAGUACUUUAGGGAGGGGUAGAAUUCCACGUGUAGCGGUGAAAUGCGUAGAGAUGUGGAGGAAUACCGAAGGCGAAGGCAGCCCCUUGGGAAUGUACUGACGCUCAUGUGCGAAAGCGUGGGGAGCAAACAGGAUUAGAUACCCUGGUAGUCCACGCUGUAAACGAUGUCGAUUUGGGGAUUGGGCUUUGAGCUUGGUGCCCGUAGCUAACGUGAUAAAUCGACCGCCUGGGGAGUACGGCCGCAAGGUUAAAACUCAAAUGAAUUGACGGGGGCCCGCACAAGCGGUG